AGCGAACGCUGGCGGCAGGCCUAACACAUGCAAGUCGAGCGCCCCGCAAGGGGAGCGGCAGACGGGAGAGUAACACGUGGGAACGUACCCUUCAGUACGGAACAACCAAGGGAAACUUUGGCUAAUACCGUAUACGUCCGUAAGGAGAAAGAUUUAUCGCUGAAGGAUCGGCCCGCGUCUGAUUAGCUAGUUGGUGAGGUAACGGCUCACCAAGGCGACGAUCAGUAGCUGGUCUGAGAGGAUGAUCAGCCUCACUGGGACUGAGACACGGCCCAGACUCCUACGGGAGGCAGCAGUGGGGAAUAUUGGACAAUGGGCGCAAGCCUGAUCCAGCCAUGCCGCGUGGGUGAUGAAGGCCCUAGGGUUGUAAAGCCCUUUCGGCGGGGAAGAUAAUGACGGUACCCGCAGAAGAAGCCCCGGCUAACUUCGUGCCAGCAGCCGCGGUAAU
rnacentral:rRNA from 1 species